UGAAGUGCAAGACAUGUACUCACAAAGUAAAUGCAAAAACUGCAUUACAUACAUGGUUUGGUCUAUCAUUCAGACCUGCGUCUCAACUCUCACAAGAAUGUUGAAGGUCAUCAGUAGGUCGUCGACCAGAAAGACCUAGGACCACUGAUUGACAGGGCAUGUGCCAAGUGCCGUCACGAUGGAC